UAGCGCCGUAUGCGUGGAGACGCGCUCGUGCGGUGCGACCGGGGCUGGCCGGAGUAAUCCUCCCCUGCCAGGGAGCGUAAUCCCGGCCUUCUACCGGAU
rfam:Desulfovibrio sp. X2 ctg23, whole genome shotgun sequence.